GCAUCCCCCAUCACCACCAUCACCAUCUGCUCCUGUUCUACCACGUGGCCAUCACCCAGGAGGGGACAAAGCCAUCCCCAGCACAGUCAGCCACCUUUGCAGCCUGAUCAGCCAAAUUACUGCCAGGUACAUGCAGAGCUGUUCCCUUUGGAUGUGCUUUUACAUGGACCACAGCUGUCUCACUGGGCCCUUUUAGAGCCUCUAGUACCCAGGUCCUCUCUUACCUUUGGCUGCACUGUGAUUCCACCUCUGCAGUCCUGUUCCAGCUGAGAUCUCUCCUCUGGAUGUCCGUACAAAAGCUGGGCCAGGUUUGAGUUAUUGGUUACCCUGAUGCUGAUUCUCUGCUAUUUAACAGCAUGGCCUCGAGUUUCAAGGUUCUAGCAUGGGUCAGCCACUUUUCAGCUCUCUGGUUCAAUGCACUCCUCUCAUUAUGGGCAGUACAAACCUUCAGUGCUGCUCCAGAUGUUCUGUUUCCAGCUUCUUGAACCGCAGGGGCAGUAGCUGCUGCUGCCUGUGAGCAAACAGCCCAUCCCCUGCUCACUGGAUCCAGCAGCUCAGACAGGUGAGCUGCCCCUUCCUCUCUCUCUAUUCCUGGCCAACACUCCACAAGCAACUUGGUCUUUAAUAUUUACAGACAAAAGGAGUGGGCUUUUUAAAUCUGGGAGGCUCAAAACAGGAGCCUCCAUCAGUGAUUCUUUUAUCCCUUGGAGCUUCUCCUCAUCUCCUUUAGUCCAUUUAGCUACAUUCUGAGUAAGUUUUUCACACAGGAAUGUAACCUUUUGGGUACAUUCUGACAUCCAUAACCUGUCCUAAUAAUCCUAGUGAUUGUCUAAUCUCCUUCUGGCUUUUUGGGGCUGGCAGGGGUAAGAUCCCCACCACUCUUUCUGAGCCC